CAGUCGAGCGAACUGAUUAGAAGCUUGCUUCUAUGACGUUAGCGGCGGACGGGUGAGUAACACGUGGGCAACCUGCCUGUAAGACUGGGAUAACUUCGGGAAACCGAAGCUAAUACCGGAUAGGAUCUUCUCCUUCAUGGGAGAUGAUUGAAAGAUGGUUUCGGCUAUCACUUACAGAUGGGCCCGCGGUGCAUUAGCUAGUUGGUGAGGUAACGGCUCACCAAGGCAACGAUGCAUAGCCGACCUGAGAGGGUGAUCGGCCACACUGGGACUGAGACACGGCCCAGACUCCUACGGGAGGCAGCAGUAGGGAAUCUUCCGCAAUGGACGAAAGUCUGACGGAGCAACGCCGCGUGAGUGAUGAAGGCUUUCGGGUCGUAAAACUCUGUUGUUAGGGAAGAACAAGUACGAGAGUAACUGCUCGUACCUUGACGGUACCUAACCAGAAAGCCACGGCUAACUACGUGCCAG
rnacentral:rRNA from 2 species